UACGUAGGGUGCGAGCGUUAAUCGGAAUUACUGGGCGUAAAGUGUGCGCAGGCGGCAGAGCAAGUCGAGUGUGAAAGCCCCGGGCUUAACUUGGGAAUUGCGCUCGAGACUACUUUGCUGGAGUGUGGCAGAGGAAGGUGGAAUUCCACGUGUAGCGGUGAAAUGCGUAGAGAUGUGGAGGAACACCAAUGGCGAAGGCAGCCAUCUGGACCGACACUGACGCUGAGGCGCGAAAGCGUGGGGAGCAAACAGG
rnacentral:rRNA from 1 species